rnacentral:rRNA from 1 species
GGGGAAUAUUGGGCAAUGGACGCAAGUCUGACCCAGCAACGCCGCGUGAAGGAAGAAGGCUUUCGGGUUGUAAACUUCUUUUAAGGGGGAAGAGCAGAAGACGGUACCCCUUGAAUAAGCCACGGCUAACUACGUGCCAGCAGCCGCGGUAAUACGUAGGUGGCAAGCGUUGUCCGGAUUUAGUGGGUGUAAAGGGCGUGCAGCCGGAGAGACAAGUCAGAUGUGAAAUCCACGGGCUCAACCCGUGAACUGCAUUUGAAACUGUUUCCCUUGAGUGUCGGAGAGGUAAUCGGAAUUCCUUGUGUAGCGGUGAAAUGCGUAGAUAUAAGGAAGAACACCAGUGGCGAAGGCGGAUUACUGGACGAUAACUGACGGUGAGGCGCGAAAGCGUGGGGAGCAAACAGG